rnacentral:rRNA from 1 species
ACUGCUCAGUAACACGUGGAUAACCUGCCCUUGGGUCCGGCAUAACCCCGGGAAACUGGGGAUAAUUCCGGAUAACGCAUAUGUGCUGGAAUGCUUUAUGCGUCAAAUGGAUUCGUCUGCCCAAGGAUGGGUCUGCGGCCUAUCAGGUAGUAGUGGGUGUAAUGUACCUACUAGCCGACAACGGGUACGGGUUGUGAGAGCAAGAGCCCGGAGAUGGAUUCUGAGACAUGAAUCCAGGCCCUACGGGGCGCAGCAGGCGCGAAAACUUUACAAUGCGGGAAACCGUGAUAAGGGGACACCGAGUGUCAGCAUCAUAUGCUGGCUGUCCAGGUGUGUAAAAUACACCUGUUAACAAGGGCCGGGCAAGACCGGUGCCAGCCGCCGCGGUAACACCGGCGGCCCGAGUGGUGAUCGUGAUUAUUGGGUCUAAAGGGUCCGUAGCCGGUUUGGUCAGUCCUCCGGGAAAUCUGAUAGCUCAACUAUUAGGCUAUCGGGGGAUACUACCAGACUUGGAACCGGGAGAGGUAAGAGGUACUACAGGGGUAGGAGUGAAAUCUUGUAAUCCCUGUGGGACCACCUGUGGCGAAGGCGUCUUACCAGAACGGGUUCGACGGUGAGGGACGAAAGCUGGGGGCACGAACCGGAUUAGAUACCCGGGUAGUCCCAGCCGUAAACGAUGCUCGCUAGGUGUCAGGCAUGGCGCGACCGUGUCUGGUGCCGCAGGGAAGCCGUGAAGCGAGCCACCUGGGAAGUACGGCCGCAAGGCUGAAACUUAAAGGAAUUGGCGGGGGAGCAC